ensembl:lncRNA
AGAAAGCAGACAGCGGGGAGGGAGGGUGACUGAUGGGCGAUGUGAAAGGUGCUGGUAUUUAAGGUGCUCUGGCCCGAAUGUCAAGACAGUAUGUGGCGGGCUUCCACGCGGUCGUGGAGGACACGGGCGAGUGAGCAGUGACCCGGGGAGAUGGGGCUUACUGUAUGUUCAUUUAGUAGUUCGAAGGCUCGACCCGCCGAGGGCGCCGUCCUGGGAGGCCUCCACGAGGAGAUGGAUUUCUGAUGGGAUUCAUGAUCAGGGGAGGAAAGUUUCAUCUGGUGAUUGGGGUAAGUAUUUGAGUAGAAAACAAACUAAUCGAAUUGUGGUUAAUAUAAAAAAGAAAUCAUUUUUGUCAGAAUUGUCAGAAAUGUAAAUUUAUUUUUUUUCUUAUUGAAAACCACGGUUUUCAAAAUGUUUAUGACCUUUUUUUAAAUAGAAUGUAAAAAAAGUAAAAAAAACGUCCACAUUUUUGAACUCCUAGCAGAUGAAAGGUGUCGAUGCUCUCUUACCGCGCUAAUGAGCCCGCUGUUUGAACUGGUGCCGUAGGACUGAAUUCAUGGCACCUAAUAGGGGAAUUCUUUUCUAGCGAUAGGCUGUAAAACGGGUUGUUUCCCAGUCCAACUGCCAGGAAAGAUAGCAGCUUCCUGAAAGUGUUCAGGUGUGGCCUUCCUCAACAAGUUAAUUGUACCAUGUUGCAUGUCUCCUAAAAGAAUGUGCACACACUGAAUAAACUCCAGUGACUGAGAUAACAUUGAGGAUCUAUCUUGCUGCCCUGUUGACUCCUGCACUCCAACGAGGUGUUUUUCAGGUAAAGGAAGAGAUCCUAUCAGUAAACGCAGUUAAUGUUCCUUGGUGUGUAUGCCACUACUGACAAGUCAUUUCGUGCCUGGACUGCAGCACUGUCACCAGUGCUUGCAUCAGCUUGGUGGAAAGACUUUUGUUUUCUCUGGUUUAGAAGCAUUUCCAGGAAUACCUCUUCCCGUGCAGUAAUGUUUCAUUGGAUCCUUUCAAUCAUAACGACCUUUUGGAGUUUUGUGUCCUACUUUGGUUUCAGGGCACUUCCCUGGAAUGCCUCUCAAUCCGUUGUCUACAAAUGAGAAAAUACGUCAUGUGUUGUAUUAAAGUGUAUAAUGCAAAGGCCAACUAUGAUCAAUCAUCUUUAGUUGCUGUAAUAACCUAUUGCUAAAUCUUUCAAUGAAUGAAGUAAGGCAGAUGUUAUCAUCUUAUCUUCACUCAGCAUUUCUUGUCAAAUGGGGAAGGUCACGAGUGACUCAGGUUCAACGUGCAGCUCAACAUCUUGUAACUUCUGAAACUUCAAGAUGUUCAUUCCAGAAGGACCUAAAGCUGUCUGAUUGACUAAUUGUUUGUAUUACGUUAAGAUUAGGCAGUAAACUGAGUUGAAAAAGAGCUUCAUUAAUGAAGCAUGAGUUGUUUUAAACGUCCAUUCUGGACUCUUGAGGACCAACUUUGGAUGAGUGUUGUACUAUGAGAACUGAAUUCCAUAGAUGGUGGCAUCUUCAGGUGUCAUCUAUGGGCUCAGUUCUUUUGGUACGGUACUAAUUUGUCAGCUUUAAUGCCCCGUAGAUUUUGUGUAUAUUGUUACCUUUCUUUGAAUGAUUAAUAAGGAGAUAUUUUCAAAUUGCGUAUACUUUUACUGUGAUUAGAAUAUACAUUUGUAAAAUGAUUGAUACGAGUUAAUCAUGCAUAUUGUAUUUUCAUAAUAAACAUAAUCAAAGAUAA